UGCAGUCGAGCGAYSGAUUAAGAGCUUGCUCUUAUGAAGUUAGCGGCGGACGGGUGAGUAACACGUGGGUAACCUGCCCAUAAGACUGGGAUAACUCCGGGAAACCGGGGCUAAUACCGGAUAACAUUUUGCACCRCAUGGUGCGAAAUUGAAAGGCGGCUUCGGCUGUCACUUAUGGAUGGACCCGCGUCGCAUUAGCUAGUUGGUGAGGUAACGGCUCACCAAGGCAACGAUGCGUAGCCGACCUGAGAGGGUGAUCGGCCACACUGGGACUGAGACACGGCCCAGACUCCUACGGGAGGCAGCAGUAGGGAAUCUUCCGCAAUGGACGAAAGUCUGACGGAGCAACGCCGCGUGAGUGAUGAAGGCUUUCGGGUCGUAAAACUCUGUUGUUAGGGAAGAACAAGUGCUAGUUGAAUAAGCUGGCACCUUGACGGUACCUAACCAGAAAGCCACGGCUAACUACGUGCCAGCAGCCGCGGUAAUACGUAGGUGGC
rnacentral:rRNA from 1 species